CUAAAUACUCCUGACUGACCGAUAGUGAACCAGUACCGUGAGGGAAAGGCGAAAAGAACCCCGGCGAGGGGAGUGAAAAAGAACCUGAAACCGUGUACGUACAAGCAGUGGGAGCACGCUUAGGCGUGUGACUGCGUACCUUUUGUAUAAUGGGUCAGCGACUUAUAUUCUGUAGCAAGGUUAACCGAAUAGGGGAGCCGAAGGGAAACCGAGUCUUAACUGGGCGUUAAGUUGCAGGGUAUAGACCCGAAACCCGGUGAUCUAGCCAUGGGCAGGUUGAAGGUUGGGUAACACUAACUGGAGGACCGAACCGACUAAUGUUGAAAAAUUAGCGGAUGACUUGUGGCUGGGGGUGAAAGGCCAAUCAAACCGGGAGAUAGCUGGUUCUCCCCGAAAGCUAUUUAGGUAGCGCCUCGUGAAUUCAUCUCCGGGGGUAGAGCACUGUUUCGGCAAGGGGGUCAUCCCGACUUACCAACCCGAUGCAAACUGCGAAUACCGGAGAAUGUUAUCACGGGAGACACACGGCGGGUGCUAACGUCCGUCGUGAAGAGGGAAACAACCCAGACCGCCAGCUAAGGUCCCAAAGUCAUGGUUAAGUGGGAAACGAUGUGGGAAGGCCCAGACAGCCAGGAUGUUGGCUUAGAAGCAGCCAUCAUUUAAAGAAAGCGUAAUAGCUCACUGGUCGAGUCGGCCUGCGCGGAAGAUGUAACGGGGCUAAACCAUGCACCGAAGCUGCGGCAGCGACGCUGAUGCGUUGUUGGGUAGGGGAGCGUUCUGUAAGCCUGUGAAGGUGUGCUGUGAGGCAUGCUGGAGGUAUCAGAAGUGCGAAUGCUGACAUAAGUAACGAUAAAGCGGGUGAAAAGCCCGCUCGCCGGAAGACCAAGGGUUCCUGUCCAACGUUAAUCGGGGCAGGGUGAGUCGACCCCUAAGGCGAGGCCGAAAGGCGUAGUCGAUGGGAAACAGGUUAAUAUUCCUGUACUUGGUGUUACUGCGAAGGGGGGACGGAGAAGGCUAUGUUGGCCGGGCGACGGUUGUCCCGGUUUAAGCGUGUAGGCUGGUUUUCCAGGCAAAUCCGGAAAAUCAAGGCUGAGGCGUGAUGACGAGGCACUACGGUGCUGAAGCAACAAAUGCCCUGCUUCCAGGAAAAGCCUCUAAGCAUCAGGUAACAUCAAAUCGUACCCCAAACCGACACAGGUGGUCAGGUAGAGAAUACCAAGGCGCUUGAGAGAACUCGGGUGAAGGAACUAGGCAAAAUGGUGCCGUAACUUCGGGAGAAGGCACGCUGAUAUGUAGGUGAAGUCCCUCGCGGAUGGAGCUGAAAUCAGUCGAAGAUACCAGCUGGCUGCAACUGUUUAUUAAAAACACAGCACUGUGCAAACACGAAAGUGGACGUAUACGGUGUGACGCCUGCCCGGUGCCGGAAGGUUAAUUGAUGGGGUCAGCGCAAGCGAAGCUCUUGAUCGAAGCCCCGGUAAACGGCGGCCGUAACUAUAACGGUCCUAAGGUAGCGAAAUUCCUUGUCGGGUAAGUUCCGACCUGCACGAAUGGCGUAAUGAUGGCCAGGCUGUCUCCACCCGAGACUCAGUGAAAUUGAACUCGCUGUGAAGAUGCAGUGUACCCGCGGCAAGACGGAAAGACCCCGUGAACCUUUACUAUAGCUUGACACUGAACAUUGAGCCUUGAUGUGUAGGAUAGGUGGGAGGCUUAGAAGUGUGGACGCCAGUCUGCAUGGAGCCGACCUUGAAAUACCACCCUUUAAUGUUUGAUGUUCUAACGUUGACCCGUAAUCCGGGUUGCGGACAGUGUCUGGUGGGUAGUUUGACUGGGGCGGUCUCCUCCUAAAGAGUAACGGAGGAGCACGAAGGUUGGCUAAUCCUGGUCGGACAUCAGGAGGUUAGUGCAAUGGCAUAAGCCAGCUUGACUGCGAGCGUGACGGCGCGAGCAGGUGCGAAAGCAGGUCAUAGUGAUCCGGUGGUUCUGAAUGGAAGGGCCAUCGCUCAACGGAUAAAAGGUACUCCGGGGAUAACAGGCUGAUACCGCCCAAGAGUUCAUAUCGACGGCGGUGUUUGGCACCUCGAUGUCGGCUCAUCACAUCCUGGGGCUGAAGUAGGUCCCAAGGGUAUGGCUGUUCGCCAUUUAAAGUGGUACGCGAGCUGGGUUUAGAACGUCGUGAGACAGUUCGGUCCCUAUCUGCCGUGGGCGCUGGAGAACUGAGGGGGGCUGCUCCUAGUACGAGAGGACCGGAGUGGACGCAUCACUGGUGUUCGGGUUGUCAUGCCAAUGGCACUGCCCGGUAGCUAAAUGCGGAAGAGAUAAGUGCUGAAAGCAUCUAAGCACGAAACUUGCCCCGAGAUGAGUUCUCCCUGACUCCUUGAGAGUCCUGAAGGAACGUUGAAGACGACGACGUUGAUAGGCCGGGUGUGUAAGCGCAGCGAUGCGUUGAGCUAACCGGUACUAAUGAACCGUGAGG
rnacentral:rRNA from 1 species